AAAGUCGUAACAAAGGUUUCCGUAAGGUGAACCUGCGGAAGGAUCAUUAGAAAUGAGAGCGGACCAUGUCAGUGGGCGAAAGCUACGCACGCGCCAGUAAAGCGCCCGUAAACCUCCACCCUUGUGUAUUAUUCUUCUGUUGCUUUGGCAGGCCGCGACCCUCUGGGGGAGCGCUGGCUUCGGCUGGAGAGUGCCUGCCAGAGGACCAAACUCUGUAAUUUAAUGCCGUCUGAGUACUACGAAAAUAGUUAAAA
rnacentral:misc_RNA from 1 species